UUUGUUUAUACCUUUUAUUUACACCCCUAAUAUUCCAAAAUAAACACUUCAUUUGAUAUGACUAGGGCCCCCAUCAUCUAGGGGAUUAGCUGAUCUACUCUCUGACAUAACAUGAAAUCUGUUGCUCAUCACCACAGGAGAUAGAGGAGGGAAGUUUGUAAGGUUGAAAUCUGGAGAUUGAACCUGUUUGCCUUUGUCUAUCUGUUUAUGAACCUCUGGUUCACCUAUAGGAGCCACAAUUUCCUUGGUAGAUACAACACUCUUCAAAGUAUCCAAUUGCUGAUUAGGAACAUCUUGCUGCUGUAAGUUACUCUGGUUUGGAGCUUUUGGUCUCCAUUCCUGUAGUACUUUAGUUUUCAGCACCUGGUUGGCUUGUGGAGGUUUAGGAUUAGCCAUACAGUUAUGUCC
rnacentral:lncRNA from 1 species